rfam:Phascolarctobacterium sp. CAG:207 genomic scaffold, scf161
GUAACAAAGCAGAAGCCGCUCGCUUCUCACCUUGCAGCAAAAGCUCGACAGGGUCGGAUAUGAUUUUCAGCGCGGGCAGUAUUAUCUGCUCGCGUUUUUUAUUUAAU